rnacentral:tRNA from 1 species
AAUAUAAUUAAAAAAAUCAACUAUAACUUUAAGAAUAAUCCUAAUCCAAAUAACUUAUAUAUGUGU